GACGAACGCUGGCGGCGUGCUUAACACAUGCAAGUCGAACGGAAAGGCCCUGCUUUUGUGGGGUGCUCGAGUGGCGAACGGGUGAGUAACACGUGAGUAACCUGCCCUUGACUUUGGGAUAACUUCAGGAAACUGGGGCUAAUACCGGAUAGGAGCUCCUGCUGCAUGGUGGGGGUUGGAAAGUUUCGGCGGUUGGGGAUGGACUCGCGGCUUAUCAGCUUGUUGGUGGGGUAGUGGCUUACCAAGGCUUUGACGGGUAGCCGGCCUGAGAGGGUGACCGGCCACAUUGGGACUGGGAUACGGCCCAGACGCCUUCGGGAGGCAGCAGUGGGGAAUUUUGCACAAUGGGCGGAGGCCUGAUGCAGCAACGCCGCGUGCGGGAUGACGGCCUUCGGGUUGUAAACCGCUUUCGCCUGUGACGAAGCGUGAGGGACGGUAAUGGGUAAAGAAGCACCGGCUAACUACGU
rnacentral:rRNA from 1 species